AUUGAACGCUAGCGGGAUGCUUUACACAUGCAAGUCGAACGGCAGCGCGGACUUCGGUCUGGCGGCGAGUGGCGAACGGGUGAGUAAUGUAUCGAAACGUGCCCAGUAGCGGGGGAUAACUACGCGAAAGCGUAGCUAAUACCGCAUACGCCCUACGGGGGAAAGCAGGGGAUCGUAAGACCUUGCACUAUUGGAGCGGCCGAUAUCGGAUUAGCUAGUUGGUGAGGUAACGGCUCACCAAGGCGACGAUCCGUAGCUGGUUUGAGAGGACGACCAGCCACACUGGGACUGAGACACGGCCCAGACUCCUACGGGAGGCAGCAGUGGGGAAUUUUGGACAAUGGGGGCAACCCUGAUCCAGCCAUCCCGCGUGUGCGAUGAAGGCCUUCGGGUUGUAAAGCACUUUUGGCAGGAAAGAAACGUCGCGGGCUAAUACCCCGUGGAACUGACGGUACCUGCAGAAUAAGCACCGGCUAACUACGU
rnacentral:rRNA from 1 species